UUCUCGUGUUAGUUUGAUAGAGCACGAUGCACACUCGGGAAGAGAUAAGAGAGUGUCGUAAGCUCCAAGAUAUUAUAUCUGCAGACUGCACAGAAAACAUCCCGAGGAUCUACAACUUUGCAAAUACUAGGUCCAGACUGCAGAAAUUGUGAAAUUUCUUUGAGAUAUUGACAAAAAUGGGUAUAUACACCUUGGUGCAACGUAGGAGGCUAGUCAAACUAGGGAUGUGCGGGUACCCGAUAUUACGGGCUCACCGCGGCAAUAUAACGAGAGACUACUGUAAUAUUAAUAUUAUCUGUGAUUUUGGUAAAUGUAAAACUAUAAAUUAGGGAUAUGUGGGGACCCGAUAUUAUGGUCUCGGGCUGGUAUCCGAUACAUGCGUGCAGUCGGGAACCCGACAUAUUAGUCGGAUCGCACAGCACUGCACCAAACAGAAGGGACCAGUCUGUCAGCCACCAAAUAUAGGCCUGUCGUCAUGUCGUUUGAACUUGCUAGACCUUGUCACAUCCUCUUUUUUUUCCCCAACGACCAUGUGAGCGUAUACGCGAGAAGACUGGAUGAAUGUUUGCCCGGACUAUCAGUGUCAAUAGUGCGUCGGUGUCUCUUUCCAUCCGACUCCGGGACGAGCCUCGAUAAUAAUACGGUUCAGAUUUCACCUGGUCUUCUGCUCUUCCACGACCCUCUCUUCCCGUUCACCGUAUUUCCGGGGCAAUUUCAAACUUCCUGCCGCGCAUCGAUCUUCUUCUAGCUCUAUCGAGCGCGGCAAGUAUCUUCUUCUUUGUUCCCGAUUCCUCCUCCUCUUUGUUCUUACAUCGCUGAAAGAUUUCUAGCCUUUCGACUCGUAACGACGAUCGGUCGAUUUCCAUAAAAUGUACACCAUUCAGUCACGAGGAUCCCGGUGGGUCGUAUUCUACAGGACAGUGUGGUUUGCGGUACCUUUUGUAAGUUUCACGUUAAUAGCCUGUGUACUCCCACGCGCCACAUUAGGCCCCCCUUCAUUGUCGAGCAGGAGGCUCGAAUUUGCGAGGGAAUUUACAUCGGCGAUAUAAAUACAAUGGACUUGGAUUAUCCGGACGCGAUGGAAGUGGGUGAUUUGAAUUUCGAUGAACGGCAGACCUUCUUCUCGAUACUUCGAUGACAAGUGGAAUACGUGGCACUCAUUUUAUUUUGUAAAAAACGAGGCUAUAUACAGUAAUAAGAAUGGUAUUUCCCGGGGCUUCCCAAACCUCCCCAUAAACUUCCCCUAGAUUCUGGGGCUUCCCGGGCUUUUUGAAUAUUCAAACUGAUUAGUAAAAAAGAUAAACGCCAGAGGACGCUGCGAGCAGAAUAUUCCGAGUAUUUCGGAGUAGAUUAUAUUUUGUUAUUUUGCAUAGGAAUUUAAAAGUUUCGAAGGAGAAACAAUUGAAUUUCGUUUAAAACAAGUUUAACUUGAGGAAUUGAUAAUUUGAAAGAUUCUGAUACACAUUUAUGAAUUAAAAUGUCAGUGAUAAGAAUGAAUAACAUAACCUGUAUGUACAUACAGAGGAUUUGUUAAACAAUAAAAAAUAUAUGCUUGUUUCUUAGAAAAGUAUGUUAAUGUUUGUUACAAGUAACCCAAGAAUGAUUCUUCGUUAUAUCACAGAACUUGGGUGAUUAAUUGAUGUUACAAGUAUGACAGGAAAAACAAGCUUUGUUGCGAACAGAUGAAGGUGAGCCAUUGAACAAUGCUGCUGCUGCUGACUUAGGUAUAGAAACAUCAAUUGUUUCUGACUGAAAGAGGAUCAGAAAGGAAAUUGAAGGUUUUUGUGCUAAAAUGGUUUCCAGAGAUAAUUUAAUCAAAAGAGAAGCUCUUAAAAGACUUAAGAAUGUAAUGCCUCAAUGAAAUGUUAGAUUCUCAUCCUACAUUUACUGAAAGCAUGAGGUAGUUGGAAAGAUGAAAAGCAUCCCAUGGAAUAAAACUUAAUUUUCCUGGGGAAGGUCUGUUGGAAGAUCCUAUUCCAAAUGAUAAUUCAAAUCAUCUGUUAGUAUCAGACUAUGACAGGGAAUCAGAGUGUUUAUUAAUACAAGAUGAAGAUAGAACUUGAAGCUUUACCAAUAUUGGAUGACAUCAAGAAUCAACAAAUGUGAGUCACUGAAGCAAUAGAAAUGCUUGAUAAAGUGACACUACAAAAAAUAAACUAAUAAUUCUAAGACACUUACACGUCCUCAAGAAGAAGAUGCAAAGAAGAGUUUGCAACGUUCACUGAUGUAUCUUAUGUAACUUUUUAAUCUUUGUCUGCAGAUACAAAUAAAUCCUGCUUUUUUUUA